rnacentral:RNase_P_RNA from 1 species
GAAGUGCCUGAGACAGUCGCUCACUGAUAAACUCACUGAGAGGAAAGUCCGGACACCUUAAGGCAGUACCGCCGCACGAAAGUGCGGGAAACUGACAGCGAAAGCUCCAGUUUACGGAAAGUGUCACAGAAAAUAUACCGCCUGAACGAGUUUUACUUGAUCAGGUAAGGGUGAAAUGGCGAGUUAAGAGCUCACCGCCCCGAGGGUAACUGAGGGGGCAUGACAAACCCCGUGCGGUGCAAGACAGAACAGGGAAAACGGGUAGCCUGCCCGGCCUCUUCGGAGAUGAUCCUGGGUAAUAGUCGCAGUAUGGUUCGCCCAGCUCCUGUCAUAUGACAGGAAGAUAAAUGGCUGUCACCUGUCUCGCUCCGGUGAGACAGGACACAGAAUCCGGCUUAUGAGGGUACUUCCCAC